AAUUAUUUAAUUAAGAUAUAAAGAAGUAUAAAUUUUGAAUUAAUCUUAACAAUUUAAUCAUUAAUUAUUAAUAUUCUAUUUUUUUAUAGGAUUUCUAAAGAAUUUUUUAAGAUUUAGGAUUUGAUUAGGAUUUGAUUUAGGAUUUUUUUACAUUUUGAUUAGGACUUAAGAUUUGGUCUAAGAUUUAGUUAGGAUUAGGAUUUGGUUUAGAACUUGAUUAAGAUUUGACUAAGAUUUGUCUAAUAUUUAUCUAUGAUUUUAUUAAGAUUUGACAUAAGAUUUAGUUAAGAUUUAAUUAGGAUUUUGAUUAGGAUUAUAUUAAAAUUUUAUUUUUAAUA
rnacentral:lncRNA from 1 species